rnacentral:rRNA from 1 species
CCUACGGGUGGCAGCAGUGGGGAAUCUUUGGCAAUGGGCGCAAGCCUGACCCAGCAACGCCGCGUGAAGGAAGAAGGCUUUCGGGUUGUAAACUUCUUUUCUCAGGGACGAAGCAAGUGACGGUACCUUAGGAAUAAGCCACGGCUAACUACGUGCCAGCAGCCGCGGUAAUAAGUAGGUGGCAAGCGUUAUCCGGAUUUACUGGGUGUAAAGGGCGUGUAGGCGGGGACGCAAGUCAGAUGUGAAACCCCCGGGCUCAACCUGGGGACUGCAUUUGAAACUGUGGUUCUUGAGUACUGGAGAGGCAGACGGAAUUCCUAGUGUAGCGGUGAAAUGCGUAGAUAUUAGGAGGAACACCAGUGGCGAAGGCGGUCUGCUGGACAGCAACUGACGCUGAGGCGCGAAAGCGUGGGGAGCAAACAGGAUUAGAUACCCGAGUAGUC